rnacentral:rRNA from 1 species
UAGGGAAUCUUCCGCAAUGGGCGAAAGCCUGACGGAGCAACGCCGCGUGAGUGAUGAAGGUCUUCGGAUCGUAAAACUCUGUUAUUAUGGAAUAACAAAUGUGUAAGUAACUAUGCACGUCUUUACGGUACCUAAUCAGAAAGCCACGGCUAACUACUUUCCAGCAGCCGCGGUACUACGUAGGUGGCAAGCGUUAUCCGGAAUUAUUGGGCGUAAAGCGCGCGUAGGCGGUUUUUUAAGUCUGAUGGGAAAGCCCAAGGCUGAACCGAGGAGGGUCAUUGGAAACUGGAAAACUUGAGUGCAGAAGAGGAAAGUGGAAUUCCAGGUGUAGCGGUGAAAUGCGCAGAGAUAUGGAGGAACAAAAGUGGCGAAGGCGACUUUCUGGUCUGUAACUGAAGCUGAUGAGCGAAAGAGUGGGGAACAAACAGG